AGUGAACGCUGGCGGCGUGCCUAAUACAUGCAAGUCGAACGGAGUGGCGCACGGGUGAGUAAUGUAUAACUAAUCUGCCCUACACUAGAGGACAACAGUUGGAAAACACUGCUAAUACUCGCUAGUGUAGGAAGAGGAUAUAUUGUAGCAGCUAGUUGGUGAGGUAAUGGCUCACCAAGGCUAUGACGCAUAACUGGUCUGAGAGGAUGAGCAGUCAAACUGGAACUGAGCCACCGUCCAGACGCCUACGGUAGGCAGCAGUAGGGAAUAUUGCUCAAUGGGGGCGACCCUUAAGCAGCAACGCAGCGUGGAGCAUGACAAUUUUCGUAGCGUAAACUCCUGUUGUUAGGGAAGCGGUACCUAACGAAUAAGCACCGGCUAACGCCGUGCCAGCAGCCGCGGUAAUAC
rnacentral:rRNA from 1 species